GCAGCUUCUCAACAAAUCAUAAACAAGUAAGAGAUAAAAAUAACUUAAUUCUUAGGUCAGCUCUAAUUGAGUAAGUAUCAAAGCUGCAGUUUACCUACCGUCCAAAGGACAAGCAAGUACCUGAUUCAACAAAGAGAGAAGAGAGGAGAGGGAGUGAGUGGCUGUGUGGUGCUUAGCUGCCAGCUGGGGUCAACACACAACAAUCAGGAACUUGAAGUAGUGCAUGUCAGGGACUUGAAGACAAAGGGGAACCAUUAAGAUAAUGGAAAAGAUGAACUGCUGGUGGAUCCAGUGCGGUUGCGACUCCC